rnacentral:rRNA from 1 species
AUUGAACGCUGGCGGCAGGCCUAACACAUGCAAGUCGGGCGAGCCGCGGACGGGUGAGUAAUGUAUGGGGAUCUGCCUGAUGGAGGGGGAUAACUACUGGAAACGGUAGCUAUAACUGCUUACCUGCAGCUUAACCCAUAUGGGAUUAGCUAGUAGGUGAGAUAACGGCUCACCUAGGCAACGAUCCCUAGCUGGUCUGAGAGGAUGAUCAGCCACACUGGGACUGAGACACGGCCCAGACGCCUACGGGAGGCAGCAGUAGGGAAUAUUGCACAAUGGGCGCAAGCCUGACGCAGCCAUGCCGCGUGUAUGAAGAAGGCCUUCGGGUUGUAAAGUACUUUCAGUCGGGAGGCGUUACCGACAGAGGAAGCACCGGCUAACUCCGUGCCAGCAGCCGCGGUAAUAC